rnacentral:pre_miRNA from 1 species
UAACGACGACGACGAUGAUGAUGAUGAUGAUGAUGAUGAUGAUUGCUGGAGUUAUUUCCCUUUAUUUCAACCAUCAUCAUCAUCAUCGUCGUCGUUAUCAUCAUCAUCCCCA